UACAGAGGUCUCAAGCGUUGUUCGGAUUCAUUGGGCGUAAAGGGCGCGUAGGCGGCCACCGCAAGUCGAUUGUGAAAUCUCCGGGCUUAACCCGGAAAGGUCAACCGAUACUGCGGGGCUAGAGUGCAGAAGGGGCAACUGGAAUUCUCGGUGUAGCGGUGAAAUGCGUAGAUAUCGAGAGGAACACCUGCGGCGAAGGCGGGUUGCUGGGCUGACACUGACGCUGAUGCGCGAAAGCUAGGGGAGCGAACGGG
rnacentral:rRNA from 1 species